rnacentral:rRNA from 1 species
UACGUAGGGGGCAAGCGUUGUCCGGAAUCAUUGGGCGUAAAGAGCGUGUAGGCGGUCCAGUAAGUCCGCUGUGAAAGUCAAGGGCUCAACCCUUGAAAGCCGGUGGAUACUGCUGGACUAGAGUCCGGAAGAGGCGAGUGGAAUUCCUGGUGUAGCGGUGAAAUGCGCAGAUAUCAGGAGGAACACCGAUGGCGAAGGCAGCUCGCUGGGACGGUACUGACGCUGAGACGCGGAAGCGUGGGGAGCAAACAGG